rnacentral:rRNA from 1 species
GACGAACGCUGGCGGCGUGCUUAACACAUGCAAGUCGAACGGAAAGGCCCUGCUUUUGUGGGGUGCUCGAGUGGCGAACGGGUGAGUAACACGUGAGUAACCUGCCCUUGACUUUGGGAUAACUUCAGGAAACUGGGGCUAAUACCGGAUAGGAGCUACUGCUGCAUGGUGGGGGUUGGAAAGUUUCGGCGGUUGGGGAUGGACUCGCGGCUUAUCAGCUUGUUGGUGGGGUAGUGGCUUACAAAGGCUUUGAAGGGUAGCCGGCCUGAGAGGGUGACCGGCCACAUUGGGACUGAGAUACGGCCCAGACUCCUACGGGAGGCAGCAGUGGGGAAUAUUGCACAAUGGGCGGAAGCCUGAGGCAGCAACGCCGCGUGCGGGAUGACGGCCUUCGGGUUGUAAACCGCUUUCGCCUGUGACGAAGCGUGAGUGACGGUAAUGGGUAAAGAAGCACCGGCUAACUACGUG